CUCUGAUUCCCUGACUCUGUGGCUGAGGUGGAAGAAAACUGUGAACUCCACCACUGAACCAGACGAACCUGCAGAGAUGAUCGAGUUAAACUUCGUGUAUGAGAACGUGUCGGCCGUCACUGCAGCACAGACAGAAGCUGGAGAGGAGAGGAGAGGAGAGGAGAGGAGAGGAG